UGGGGAAUUUUGCACAAUGGGGGAAACCCUGAUGCAGCGACGCCGCGUGAUUUAGAAGGCCUUCGGGUUGUAAAAAUCUUUUCUAUGGGAAGAAAAUGACAGUACCAUAGGAAUAAGGACCGGCUAAUUACGUGCCAGCAGCCGCGGUAAUACGUAAGGUCCGAGCGUUGUCCGGAAUCAUUGGGCGUAAAGGGUACGUAGGCGGGUAAGCAAGUUAGAAGUGAAAUCCUAUAGCUCAACUAUAGUAAGCUUUUAAAACUGCUCAUCUUGAGGUAUGGAAGGGAAAGUGGAAGUCCUAGUGUAGCGGUGACAUGCGCAGAUAUUAGGAGGAAUACCGGUGGCGAAGGCGACUUUCUGGCCAUAACCUGACGCUGAGGUACGAAAGCGUGGGUAGCAAACAGG
rnacentral:rRNA from 1 species